CUCUGGUCUUGUACUGAGCUAUAUCAAUGUUUCAUAAGCAUCUCCUAGUGGGACUUAUACUUGAAACCCGUAGGAAACAUUCCUGAGACUUGAGGUUUUAACUUUAGGUAAUAUAAACUUACAUGGUGCUUUUCUGUAAUACACAGGUGUUCUGUAGGUGGUGGGAUCUGCAUUCUCAAGACUACAGUAUUACUAUUAUACUGUAUUGUCAGAAGCAAAACAUAGAGAUCUUUAAUGAAGAAAUUUGUCUUCUAAGGCUAUGGCACAGUAACACCAGAUGCUGGGGAAGUUGGAGAGGAGCCACCAGCAUCCCUGGAAACCCUCACAGUGCCACUGUAUCAUAA
rnacentral:lncRNA from 1 species